rnacentral:rRNA from 1 species
CGAAUGGGGCAAGCGUUGUUCGGAAUCACUGGGCUUAAAGCGUACGCAGGCGGCCAUGCAAGUCAGAAGUGAAAUCCCUGGGCUUAACCCAGGAAUUGCUUUUGAAACUGCACGGCUAGAAUCCGGGAGAGGUUGGCGGAAUUCCGAGUGUAGCAGUGAAAUGCGCAGAUAUUCGGAGGAACACCAGUGGCGAAGGCGGCCAACUGGACCGGCAUUGACGCUCAUGUACGAAAGCGUGGGUAGCAAACAGGAUUAGAUACCCUGGUAGUCCACGCUGUAAACGAUGUGUGCUAGUUGUUGGAACCGUCAGGUUUCGGCGACGCAGGGAAACCUUUAAGCACACCGCCUGGGGAGUACGGUCGCAAGAUUA